AUCUUUGUGCUUGGGGCAAUGACGUAGCUAGUGAGGUUCUAACCGAGGCACGUAUUUUGCUGGUUGAAAACUAUUUCCAAACUCCCUCCUUGGCCUGAGCUUGACUUUGGCCGUCGAGAAUUUCUGGAAGAGCUUCCUUUAUUGGUGAAGCU